AAAACAUAUAAAUACUCUGUUACGAUAUAAAUUUAAUUAUAAGUAAUUCAAAGAGCACCAGAGUUACAAUAAAUUACUUGCUCAAGAUUUUUAAAAAUCAUCGAAAAAAAUGUUGAAAAUAUUUUUUAUUUUUCUUGUGAUUAUGGUGAUAAAUAUAAUCGCUGCAGAAAAAUGUGGGCAGUUUGGAGAAGCAUGCAGUGCGAAUCGACAUUGCUGUGAUUAUCUUCACUGUGACGCUGAUCCUGGUACAUGUGUUGGAAAUAUUUAAUCUAAGCGGCUAUAAAUUUUCUAUUUACCAAAGUAUUUAUUGUUGAAAUUAUUUUAAAAUUGU